GCGCCGCUAGCUCAGUUGGUAGAGCAGCUGACUCUUAAUCAGCGGGUCCGGGGUUCGAAUCCCUGGCGGCGUA
rnacentral:tRNA from 1 species